rnacentral:rRNA from 1 species
CCUACGGGAGUCAGCAGUAGGGAAUAUUGGACAAUGGGCGAAAGCCUGAUCCAGCCAUGCCGCGUGAGUGAUGAAGGCCUUCGGGUUGUAAAACUCUUUUCUGAGGGAAGAACAACCGGGAAAGGAAAUGUUCCCGGCCUGACGGUACCUCAGGAAUAAGCAACGGCUAACUCCGUGCCAGCAGCCGCGGUAAUACGGAGGUUGCGAGCGUUGUUCGGAAUAACUGGGCGUAAAGGGAGCGCAGGCGGUCUGGUCAGUCUGAAGUGAAAGCCCGGGGCUUAACCCCGGAAGUGCUUUGGAUACUGCCAGGCUAGAGUACGUGAGAGGAGAGCGGAAUUCAGGGUGUAGCGGUGAAAUGCGUAGAUAUCCUGAGGAACACCGGUGGCGAAAGCGGCUCUCUGGUACGAAACUGACGCUGAGGCGCGAAAGCGUGGGGAUCAAACG